UUUUUUCUAGAAGCCUAUUAUGUCUGAUAUAAAUAUAGCCACUCCUACACCUUUUUGGUUAUACUUUGCCUGAUAUAUUUUCUUACCUUUUAACUGUUAACCUAUGUGUGCCCUUAAAUCUAAAGUAAGUCUCUUGUGUGAAGCAUACUGUUAAACUUUUAAAUCUAUUUAGACAUUCUGUGAAUGUUUUAGUUUAUUUUCUGGGUAAUUUAUAAAGAAUAAAAGUUGGCUUAGCUGAUUGUUUUGUAUGCUGGAAGUCCAAGAGCAUGCCAUUGCCACCUGAUGAGAACCAUAUUUCCACGUCAGGAAAUGACCAAACGCAUGAGGAGGACAGAAGCUGUACACCAGAGAGCUUACCUCUAUAAUUCACUCUCCUGACAAGUAAACCGCUCUGGAAAAAAUAACAUUCAUUCAUUCAUUCAUUCAUGAGAGUAGAGCCCUCAUGACCUAAUAUGUUCUUAAAAAUCUAACUUUCUAAUUUUGAGCUGCCUGGGCAGGCUGGGAGGCGCGGGUUGAAAGUCUCCUUCCAAGUUUGGAGAGAGAGAAGAGCGCCUCAGACCUUGGUACCCACGAGUGGGGAGGAGGCAGGAAAGAAGGACGUGGCGUCUGGGGAGCACCCAGGCCGCAAGACAGGGCCCGGGCUUUCGUGAGUGGGAAGUGUGUGACGCGCUUGGGAAACGCAGGAGCACCAGUGGUCGGGCUGCUCUCGGCUAAGAGGGGAGUCCUAGGCGGCGGCGAGGGGCGAAGGACCCCACGCAAAAUGGCAAGUAAAGAGAUGUUUGAAGAUACUGUGGAGGAGCGUGUCAUCAAUGAAGAAUAUAAAAUCUGGAAAAAGAAUACACCGUUUCUAUAUGACCUGGUUAGGACCCAUGCUCUUCAGUGGCCCAGUCUUACCGUUCAGUGGCUUCCUGAAUUGACUAAACCGGAAGGAAAAGAUUAUGCCCUUCGUUGGCUAGUGCUGGGGACUCAUAUUUCUGAUGAGCAGAAUCAUCUGGUGGUUGCUCGAGUACAUAUUCCCAAUGAUGAUGCACAGUUUGAAGCUUCCCAUUGUGACAGUGACAAGGGUGAAUUUGGUGGCUUUGGUUCUGUAACAGGAAAAAUUGAAUGUGAAAUUAAAAUCAAUCACGAAGGAGAAGUAAACCAUGCUCCUUACAUGCCGCAGAAUCCUCAUAUCAUUGCGACAAAAACACCAUCUUCUGGUGCGUUGGUUUUUGACUACACAAAACACCCUGCUAAACCAGACCCAAGUGGAGAAUGUAUUCCUGAUCUCAGGUUAAGAGGUCACCAGAAGGAAGGCUAUGGUCUCUCCUGGAAUUCGAAUUUGAGUGGACAUCUCCUAAGUGCAUCUGAUGACCAUACUGUCUGUCUGCCGGAUAUAAACGCAGGACCAAAGGAAGGCAAAAUUGUGGAUGCUAAAGCGAUCUUUACCGGCCACUCAGCUGUUGUGGAGGAUGUGGCCUGGCACCUGCUGCACGAGUCACUGUUUGGAUCUGUUGCUGAUAAUCAGAAACUGAUGAUAUGGGACACCAGGUCCAAUGCCACCUCCAAGCUGAGCCACUUGGUGGAUGCACACAGUGCCGAAGUCAAUUGCCUCUCAUUCAAUCCCUACAGUGAAUUUAUUCUAGCCACGGGCUCUGCAGAUAAGAUCGUAGUUUUAUGGGAUCUGCGUAACUUAAAAUUAAAACUCCAUACCUUCGAAUCUCAUAAAGAUGAAAUUUUCCAGGUCCACUGGUCUCCACAUAAUGAAACUAUUCUGGCUUCAGGUGGUACGGACUGCCGCCUGAAUGUGUGGGAUUUAAGUAAAAUUGGGGAAUAACAAUCAGCAGAAGAUGCAGAAGACGGGCCUCCAGAACUGUUUAUUCAUGGAGGACACACUGCCAAGAUUUCAGAUGUUAGUCAGAAUCCCAAUGAGCCUUGGGUCAUUUGCUCAGUGUCUGAGGAUAACAUCAUGCAGAUAUGGCAAAUGGCUGAAAAUAUUUACAAUGAUGAAGAGUUGGAUGUCACGACAUCGGAACUGGAGGAACAAGGAUCUUAAACC